rnacentral:misc_RNA from 1 species
GCAUUAUGCAGCAUAAUUAAUGAAAGAAACAGGGUUUUCAGAAUCGUCCCUGAAAAAAGAAAACUGGGGAGGGGUACAAAUACAAGGUUCCAACAAAAAAUUCAUCCAAAACCCUAAAUCCUCCAAUUAUUCAAACUCAACGCUAAAUCCUGCUCUGAACACGACAGGACCUAAUAAUUAAGAAAAAUUCACAAAAUCCGAAAGCUUCCCUCCCCUCCAGAAUUCUUUUACUGAACAGAGUUAAUGUGACGGAUCAGGUCGAUCACA